CCUUAAUGGAGAGUUUGAUCCUGGCUCAGGACGAACGCUGGCGGCGUGCCUAAUACAUGCAAGUCGAGCGGAUUUAUUCCUUCGGGAAUAGGUUAGCGGCGGACGGGUGAGUAACACGUAGGCAACCUGCCUGUAAGAUCGGGAUAACUACCGGAAACGGUAGCUAAGACCGGAUAGCUGGUUUCUUC
rnacentral:rRNA from 1 species